rnacentral:rRNA from 1 species
CCUACGGGUGGCAGCAGUGAGGAAUAUUGGUCAAUGGACGAGAGUCUGAACCAGCCAAGUAGCGUGAAGGAUGACUGCCCUAUGGGCUGUAAACUUCGUUUAUAAAGGAAUAAAACGAGGCACGUGUGCCUUUUUGCAUGUACUUUAUGAAUAAGGCUCGGCUAACUCCGUGCCAGCAGCCGCGGUAAUACGGAGGAUCCGAGCGUUAUCCGGAGUCAUUGGGUUUAAAGGGAGCGUAGAUGGGUUGGUAAGUCAGUUGUGAAAGUUUGCGGCUAAACCGUAAAAUUGCAAUUGAUACUGGCAGUCUUGAGUACAGUUGAGGUAGGCGGAAUUCGUGGUGUAGCGGUGAAAUGCUUAGAUAUCACGAAGAACCCCGAUUGCGAAGGCAGCUUACUAAACUGUGACUGACAUUGAGGCUCGAAAGUGUGGGGAUCAAACAGGAUUAGAUACCCGUGUAGUC